AGCGGGGCCAUGGAAGACCCCGGAGCAGAUCGCAGCCAGGGUCAUAACCACAGAGAACCACAGAAAAGCCUGAGGUUACACAAGGUGCACACAAUGCUGCAGAUAAUGCACAUGCUUUGCUUUACUACAGCUCUGAGAGCACCACUGAAGUCAAUGGCCUUCCUACUGGUGUAAAGCAGAACAGACUCUGGCUCACCGCAUCAAAGUGAUUUCUGAGAAUCACUUCCAAGCCACAUGGAGGGAUUGUACAUCUUGGAGAAUUCCUCCGGAUCAGCGUCAAGGCUGCUGACUAAC